UGCCGCUCCCCGAGCACUCCGGGCAGGCGGCCGGCCGGGCUUGGGGUCCCCCUCUCCCUCGCGGGCGGCCGGGGCGGAGUCCCCGAGUCCCCUCCGCCUCGGCAGGAGGCGCGUCUGGAACUCGGGAGCGGGCGGGACGCUUGCCGGCCUCUGAGAUCAUCGGGUUCGAAUCCCAGCUCCGCCAGAGCUACUCCGCGACGCUGGACCUCCUGUCUCGGAGCCUCAGUUUCCCCUCUAGGGUGAGGCACCCGGGAAGCGGGGGAAUGGUGGCAGUGCUCUUUACUAUCCCAACCCCCGGGCAGCCCACGGGUGCCCUGCACGGAGCAGCCAGACGCUCAGCAAGGGCUGUUGGAUAACUGGCGAGAGUUUUCUGAAAUCAAAAGCUGAAACCUCCUCUUUUCCCAAAUUGCCACUCUUUGCCUAGCGUGUCCCGGGCAUCGCCUGGGAGCUGCUUGGAAAUGCAGCUUCUCCGGUCACCCAGGACCUGCCGAAUCAGACCUGCUGGCGGAGCCCAGCAAUCCGGGCGUGAACAGGUCCCCGGGGUGAUGCUGCUGCGCGGGAAAGGCUGGGCCCCGCUGCUCCGGGCGAUUGAUAGUGAGGAAGAUUGACCCUGAGCUAACAUCUGUGCCACUCUUCCUCCACUUUGUAUAUGGGACGCCAUCACAGCAUGGCUUGAUGAGCAGUGUGUCGGUCUGCACCUGGGCUCUGAACUCAUGAACUCUGGGCUGACACAGUCUUGAUUAUUGUAUUUUAUGUGGAAGAGGACCUGGAAUGUUUGUGGUGACUGUGUUCACCUCCUUUUGGCGCUCCAUCCAGGCACAAAUCCCUGCUAUGUGCAGGAAUUGUGUGGCGCUCCCAGGCUGCCCCACGAUGAGGAGCAAAGCAGGUUGUGCUGCCUGUGUGACCACCAGGACAAGAUUCAGAGGAAGCCAAGUCUCCCAGCUUGGAAAGAGAGGUAAAUGUUCUGGCUGAAGCCCAAAGUUCACGGGAAGCCUAGGACUGAUACACUAAUCUCCAGCACAUCUGAGCACUUCUCUUUCCACUUGUUGAGUUAUAUACUUACCAAAAGUCAACCUUGAUUGUCCACAGAAUAGUUCAUAUCUAUUGUGACUGCUAUUGUCAGUACAUAAUUUAGCUAAAUAUUAUGUGAAAAUGAUAAAUCUCAAAAAUAAAAUUAUUAUUUCUUGGAAA